rnacentral:tRNA from 1 species
GUCUCAAUAGCUCAGUGGUAGUAGCGUGCGAUUGCAGAUCGCAAUGUCACGUGUUCGAACCACGUUUGGGACU